rnacentral:rRNA from 1 species
UACGUAGGGGGCAAGCGUUAUCCGGAUUUACUGGGUGUAAAGGGAGCGUAGACGGUUAUGCAAGUCAGAAGUGAAAGCCCAAAGCUCAACUUCGGGACUGCUUUUGAAACUGUGUAACUAGAGUGCAGGAGGGGUAAGCGGAAUUCCUAGUGUAGCGGUGAAAUGCGUAGGUAUUAGGAGGAACACCGGCGGCGAAGGCGGCUUACUGGACUGUAACUGACGUUGAGGCUCGAAAGCGUGGGGAGCAAACAGG